rnacentral:rRNA from 1 species
GAUGAACGCUGGCGGCGUGCCUAAUACAUGCAAGUCGAGCGAACAGAUGAGGAGCUUGCUCCUCUGACGUUUGCGGCAGACGGGUGUGUAACACGUGGAUAACCUCCCUAUAAGACUGGGAUAACUUCGGGACACCGGAGCUAAUACCGGAUAAUAUCUUGAACCGCAUGGUUCCCUAGUGAACUACGGUUUUGCUGUCACUUAUAGAUGGAUCCGCGCCGCAUUAGCUAGUUGGUAAGGUAACGGCUUACCAAGGCAACGAUGCGUAGCCGACCUGAGAGGGUGAUCGGCCACACGGGAACUGAGACACGGACCAGACUCCUACGGGAGGCAGCAGUAGGGAAUGUUCCGCAAUGGGCGAAAGCCUGACGGAGCAACGCCGCGUGAGUGAUGAAGGUCUUCGGAUCGUAAAACUCUGUUAUUAGGAAAGAACAAAUGUGUAAGUAACUAUGCACGUCAUGACGGUACCGAAACAGAAAGCAACGGCUAACUACGUG